UUUCCGUAGGUGAACCUGCGGAAGGAUCAUUACUGAGUGAGGGCCCUCUGGGUCCAACCUCCCACCCGUGUUUAUUAUACCUUGUUGCUUCGGUGAGCCCGCCUCACGGCCGCCGGGGGGCAUCUGCCCCCGGGCCCGCGCCCACCGAAGACACCUAGAACUCUGUAUGAAGAUUGCAGUCUGAGCAAAAACUAAAUAAGUUAAAACUUUCAACAACGGAUCUCUUGGCUCUC
rnacentral:misc_RNA from 1 species